CAGUAGCGUAUAUUAAAGUUGUUGCAGUUAAAAAGCUCGUAGUUGGAUCUCGGGUUGUCGACUGUGGUUCAGGUUCAUGCCUGUUUACUGCUGUCGAUACCUAACUGGUGGGAUGCUGUGGGUGCCCUUAACUGGGUCGCCUACUGCACCCGCUCAAUUUACUUUGAAAAAAUUAGAGUGUUCAAGGCAGGCUCACACGCCUGAAUAAUGGUGCAUGGAAUAAUAGAAUAGGAUCUCGGUUCUAUUUUGUUGGUUUUCGGAACUUGAGAUAAUGAUUAAGAGGGACAGACGGGGGCAUUCGUAUUGCGGUGUUAGAGGUGAAAUUCUUGGAUCGCCGCAAGACGAACUACUGCGAAAGCAUUUGCCAAGAAUGUUUUCAUUAAUCAAGAACGAAAGUCAGAGGUU
rnacentral:rRNA from 2 species